UACGUAGGGUGCAAGCGUUGUCCGGAAUUAUUGGGCGUAAAGAGCUCGUAGGCGGCUCGGUAAGUCGGAUGUGAAACCUCCAGGCUCAACCUGGAGACGCCAUCUGAUACUGCCGUGGCUUGAGUCCGGUAGAGGAGCAGGGAAUUCCUGGUGUAGCGGUGAAAUGCGCAGAUAUCAGGAGGAACACCGGUGGCGAAGGCGGAUCUCUGGGCCGUGCCUGACGCUGAGGCGCGAAAGCGAGGGGAGCGAACAGG
rnacentral:rRNA from 1 species